rnacentral:rRNA from 1 species
UACGGGGGGGGCAAGCGUUGUUCGGAAUUACUGGGCGUAAAGGGCGCGUAGGCGGCUCUUCGAGUCAGCCGUGAAAUCUCCAGGCUUAACCUGGAAGGGUCGGUUGAUACUGUCGAGCUAGAGUGUGGAAGAGGCAACUGGAAUUCCGUGUGUAGCGGUGAAAUGCGUAGAUAUACGGAGGAACACCUGCGGCGAAGGCGGGUUGCUGGGCCAACACUGACGCUGAGGCGCGAAAGCUAGGGUAGCAAACGGG